rnacentral:ncRNA from 2 species
AUAUUUGCCGCAGAUUUUGGUCUAUUUUUCUAAGUUUUUUUAGAGAAUAGUUAAAAGGGAAUCAGGUGUAAAUCCUGAGCAGACCCGCUACUGUAAGUUCUAUAUAAGUCUUUAAACGUUUCUAAUGCCACUGUUUGCUACAGCGAAUGGGAAGGCUGUUUUAAAGAUAGAAUAAGUCAGGAGACCUGCCAUAAUCACAUAGUUUAA